rnacentral:rRNA from 1 species
UACGUAGGGGGCAAGCGUUGUCCGGAUUUAUUGGGCGUAAAGAGCGUGUAGGCGGCCCGGUAAGUCCGCCGUGAAAGUCCAGGGCUCAACCCUGGGAUGCCGGUGGAAACUGUCGGGCUAGAGUCCGGAAGAGGCGAGUGGAACUCCUGGUGUAGCGGUGGAAUGCGCAGAUAUCAGGAAGAACACCGACGGCGAAGGCAGCUCGCUGGGACGGUACUGACGCUGAGGCGCGAAAGCGUGGGGAGCGAACAGG